rnacentral:rRNA from 1 species
AAAAGCCGAUCGUAGUCCGGAUUGGAGUCUGCAACUCGACUCCAUGAAGUCGGAAUCGCUAGUAAUCGCGGAUCAGAAUGCCGCGGUGAAUACGUUCCCGGGCCUUGUACACACCGCCCGUCACACCAUGGGAGUUUGUUGCACCAGAAGUAGCUAGCCUAACUGCAAAGAGGGCGGUUACCACGGUGUGGCCGAUGACUGGGGUGAAGUCGUAACAAGGUAGCCGUAGGGGAACCUGCGGCUGGAUCACCUCCUUA